UGGGGAAUAUUGCACAAUGGGCGCAAGCCUGAUGCAGCCAUGCCGCGUGUGUGAAGAAGGCCUUCGGGUUGUAAAGCACUUUCAGCGAGGAGGAAGGUGGUGAGCUUAAUACGCUCAUCAAUUGACGUUACUCGCAGAAGAAGCACCGGCUAACUCCGUGCCAGCAGCCGCGGUAAUACGGAGGGUGCAAGCGUUAAUCGGAAUUACUGGGCGUAAAGCGCACGCAGGCGGUUUGUUAAGUCAGAUGUGAAAAUCCCCGGGCUCAACCUGGGAACUGCAUUUGAAACUGGCAAGCUAGAGUCUCGUAGAGGGGGGUAGAAUUCCAGGUGUAGCGGUGAAAUGCGUAGAGAUCUGGAGGAAUACCGGUGGCGAAGGCGGCCCCCUGGACGAAGACUGACGCUCAGGUGCGGAAGCGUGGGGCAGCAAACAGGAUUAGAUACCCUGGUAGUCCACGCUGUAAACGAUGUCGAUUUUGGAGGUUGUGCCCCUUGAGGCGUGGCUUCCGGAGCUAACGCGUUAAA
rnacentral:rRNA from 1 species